UUCCGGUUGAUCCUGCCGGACCAGACUGCUAUUGGGGUUCGACUAAGCCAUGCUAGUCUUCCCGCAAGGGAGGCAGAAGGCUGAGUAACACGUAGUUAACCUGCCUUCAGGAGGGGAAUAACCUCGGGAAACUGAGGAUAAUACCCCAUAGGUUCGGGGCACUGGAAUGUCCCUGAACUCAAAGCUGGAUCUGUGAAGGCGCCUGAAGAUGGGACUGCGGCCGAUCAGGUUGUUGGCGGGGUAAUGGCCCACCAAGCCUAAGACCGGUAGGGGCAGUGAGAGCUGGAGCCCCCAGAUGGGUACUGAGACAAGGACCCAGGCCUUACGGGGCGCAGCAGGCGCGAAAACUCCGCAAUGCGCGCAAGCGUGACGGGGGGACCCCAAGUGUCCUUGCACUGCAAGGACUUUUCCUGAGUCUAAAAAGCUCAGGGAAUAAGGGCUGGGUAAGACGGGUGCCAGCCGCCGCGGUAAUACCCGCAGCUCAAGUGGUCUGGACUUUUAUUGGGUCUAAAGCGUCCGUAGCCGGAUUUGUAAGUCCUCUGUGAAAUCUGACAGCUUAACUGUCAGGCGAGCAGGGGAUACUACAUUUCUCGGGACCGGGAGGGGCCAAGGGUACUCCUGGGGUAGCGGUGAAAUGCGUUAAUCCUAGGGGGACCACCUGUGGCGACUGAGUGGGUGGUGAGUGAAAUAAUAAAAUUCGAGCCACACACGAAGCCAUUUAAGGCGCUUGGCCAGAACGGGUCCGACGGUGAGGGACGAAAGCCAGGGGAGCGAACGGGAUUAGAUACCCCGGUAGUCCUGGCCGUAAAUUAUGCGGACUAGGUGUUACGUGCCCUUCGUGGGCAUGUGGUGCCGAAGGGAAGCCGUUAAGUCCGCCACCUGGGAAGUACGGUCGCAAGGCUGAAACUUAAAUGAAUUGACGGGGGAGCACCACAAGGGGUGGAGCCUGCGGUUUAAUUGGACUCAACGCCGGUA
rnacentral:rRNA from 1 species